rnacentral:piRNA from 1 species
UGUAGUAUACGAGGAGUAGGA